rnacentral:rRNA from 1 species
GAUGAACGCUGGCGGCGUGCCUAAUACAUGCAAGUCGAGCGGACAGACGAGGAGCUUGCUGCUCUGACGUUAGCGGCGGACGGGUGAGUAACACGUGGAUAACAUCCUUCUACGACUGGGAUAACUACGGCAAACAGGAGCUACUACCGGGUAAUAUAUUGAACCGCAUGGUUCAAUAGUGAAGGACGGUUUUGGUGUCACUUAUAGAUGGAUCCGCGCCGUAUUAGCUAGUUGGUAAGGUAACGGCUUACCAAGGCAACGAUGCGUAGCCGACCUGAGAGGGUGGUCGGCCACACUGGAGCGGAGACACGGUCCAGACUCCUACGGGGGGCAGCAGUAGGGAAUCUUCCGCAAUGGGCGAAAGCCUGACGGAGCAGCGCCGCGUGAUUGAUGAAGGUCUUCGGAUCGUAAAACUCUGUUAUUAGGGAAGAACAAAUGUGUAAGUAACUAUGCACGUCUUGACGGUACCUAAUCAGGAAGCCACGGCUAACUACGUG